rnacentral:rRNA from 1 species
UACGUAGGGGGCAAGCGUUGUCCGGAAUCAUUGGGCGUAAAGCGCGUGUAGGCGGUUCGGUAAGUCUGCUGUGAAAGUCCAGGGCUCAACCCUGGGAUGCCGGUGGAUACUGUCGGACUAGAGUACGGAAGAGGCGAGUGGAAUUCCCGGUGUAGCGGUGAAAUGCGCAGAUAUCGGGAGGAACACCAAUUGCGAAGGCAGCUCGCUGG